rnacentral:rRNA from 1 species
CGAAGGGGGCUAGCGUUGUUCGGAUUUACUGGGGCGUAAAAGCGCACGUAGGCGGAUUGUUAAGUCAGGGGUGAAAUCCUGGAGCUCAACUCCAGAACUGCCUUUGAUACUGGCAAUCUCGAGUCCGGAAGAGGUAAGUGGAACUCCUAGUGUAGAGGUGGAAUUCGUAGAUAUUAGGAAGAACACCAGUGGCGAAGGCGGCUUACUGGUCCGGAACUGACGCUGAGGUGCGAAAGCGUGGGGGAGCAAACAGGAUU